GGGAAUUUAGCUGAGAUGGAUUAGCGUUUGCCUGAAGAGCAAAAGAGAUUGGAUCGUUACCAAUAAUUCCCA
rnacentral:tRNA from 1 species